GGAAUUUGACAACGGCAACUACGGGUGAAAAAGAUUAUACAUUAUAUGGAGUGAUAGGCAGAAAUGAAUGCGUCAUUCCAUUCCACUUUCUCCACCGCCACUCCUCCUCCUCCGCCUGCAAAGCUCACACACCUAUUAGUCUACACCUCGAAAGUGGUUUUGUUGUUUUCUUCGUUUUUUCCACCUCUGCUUCUUACUAUAUUCGUAUUGAUUUGAGGUGAAAUUGGACUUUUAAAAAACUCUUCAAAAUCAAUCCAUCCGCCAACCAUACAACCAAAGCGCGUCUCUCUUGGCUGUUCUGUUUCCCUUUUUCCUUCUCUUUCUCUCCUGAGAAUUGAAGGAAAGAGAUCCCUCCCCGGGCCCCUGCUUAAAUAAACAGAUCCUCUGUAAUUUCAGCUUUUCCGGAGAUGGAGACCGAAAACAAGAAGUCGGCGGUAUCGGAUGUUGGAGCAUGGGCCAUGAACGUUAUCAGUUCCGUCGGCAUUAUUAUGGCUAAUAAGCAACUCAUGUCCUCUAGCGGUUAUGCUUUUAGCUUUGGUAUACUUUGCUCUUUUCUUUUCUUCCCUCUCAUUUAUUUACUUACUAGCACAGAAUAGAGAUCUCUCAGAUCUCAGAUCUUCGAUCUCUCCUUCAAUCGAUCUGAUACUAUCAAUUUAAUUUGAGGGAUAAAUUUUUUAAAUUGUUUCAGCCACGAGCUUAACGGGUUUCCAUUUUGCGGUAACUGCUCUGGUGGGACUUGUGUCCAAUGCGACUGGCUUAUCUGUAUCAAAGCAUGUUCCAAUGUGGGAGCUUCUCUGGUUCUCUAUUGUUGCUAAUAUGUCUAUCACUGGCAUGAACUUCAGCCUUAUGCUUAACUCCGUCGGAUUCUAUCAAAUUUCUAAACUCAGUAUGAUACCUGUGGUUUGCGUCAUGGAAUGGAUUCUUCAUAACAAGCAAUACUCGAGAGAAGUCAAGUCAUCUGUUGUGCUUGUAGUUAUAGGUGUUGGCGUUUGCACUGUCACUGAUGUCAAGGUUAAUGCCAAAGGUUUUAUUUGUGCCUGUGUAGCUGUUCUGUCUACGUCUUUGCAGCAAAUUACUAUAGGUUCCUUACAGAAGAAGUACUCAAUUGGAUCAUUUGAACUGUUAAGUAGAACAGCUCCAAUUCAAGCCCUUUCUCUUCUUAUUGUUGGUCCAUUUGUUGACUACUACCUCAAUGGAAAAUUUAUAACAACAUAUAAGAUGUCUACCGGUGCCAUUUUAUUUAUAAUUCUUUCAUGUUCCCUAGCUGUGUUCUGCAAUGUGAGUCAGUACCUCUGUAUUGGAAGAUUCUCAGCAGUUUCCUUCCAGGUUUUAGGUCACAUGAAAACAGUUUGUGUUCUCACACUGGGAUGGCUGCUCUUUGAUUCUGCGUUGACUUUUAAGAAUAUAAUGGGGAUGGUUAUUGCAGUAGCUGGCAUGGUUGUUUAUAGUUGGGCUGUAGAGGCUGAAAAGAGAGCAAGUGCCAAGGCCAUAGCCCUUACGAAGAACAGUCUGACAGAAGAGGAAAUCAGACUUCUGAAAGAGGGAGUGGCAAGCACUCCUGUGAAGGAUGUUGAACUUGGCGAGUCUAAAGGAUAGGUAUGCUUGGCUGGACAUGGACAUUCAUCGUCAGUUCUGCUUAUUAGUAAUUAUGCUGCAUGUUUAUGUGGCUGCAAGACCGUGCGCAUCCGCUGACCCCUCACACAAAAUCCCAGAAACGUGUUCUAUUUUAUUUAAGCAAUUUGUUCUUUAAUUUAAUUCUUGGUUGUUUUAAAUUAUUUUUUGUAUGUGCAAAAGAGAUUAGCGAUGAAAUCUUGAUGUGAUAAAGGAAAUGUAAAACUCUAUGUCUCAGCAGAAAGCUCUUAGGAAGCAAUAGAAUCGUGUUCUUUGCUAUUUGAAAUUUCUUUGCGCCUCUUUCUUAUGAUUUACACAAAAGAAGUGGUUUGUGCGUGCAAUUCCCAAUUGUCAGGUGUUCUUGCUCUAUUCUUGACAUUAUCCGAUUUGACAAGUAGAAGUUGCUAAGUCUAAACGCGUAUGUACAUGUUUUAACUGGUAUUGGCUAUGUGGGGGGUCUGUGAAAACCGGUGCAUGAAUUUAGGGCCUUCAUGCUGACCGUCUAGUGGUCGUCAGCCCCUAAGGCUAUACGAAAGUAAGAAGUCACUCUGCAUGCGCCACCCUCCAAUGACUGUUGGUGAUGGAUCUAUGUUGGAGAGCAUCGAAGGUCGAGGCAUUAUGGGAAGGAAGGCUUGAUAAUUGGUCAAAAUGCUUUGUUCAAUAUUGCGAUAACUUGAGUUUGGCACUUCUGAGGCCUUCUGCUUGUCGAGGAGGCCUCUCUUUGCAACCAGAGAAACAGAUGGCAGAUGGAGUUCGGCUGGUCCAUGCCUUUCUUCCUUAGCCUAGUUUUUAUUUUUUGGGCCUAUGGGCCUUAGCGAGAGUUGUUAGGUCCUUAGCUGCCCCCUAUUUUAUGUUUUUUAAGCCUCGAGCAUUAUUGCUGAUAAUUGCUCAAUUGUGUAUCUGGGCCUUGCCAUGUACUGAUUAUUUAUACAUACAUGAAAUUUGUCUUUGAG
rnacentral:misc_RNA from 1 species